AUGUCUUCAAUUACCCAUGUUCAAUUACAAUUCAUCACAAUUACUGAGCCUGGAAUUAUUCACCUAAUAAAAGUUAACCUUCCUCUUGUGUUAGCAUCUGUCAUGAUAACAGGUCCUAAAUCAACUGUAAAAUACAAAAAAAUAAACAGUUUUCAUAGAAAUUACUGUACAAUUACAGUCAAUUAUCUAAACUCAAUUACAAUUGCAUUACAAUUACAACAGCAACAGAUUUUCAAAAUUACAAUUAUAAUUAACCCCAACCCUCGGAGGUAAAUAAUAUGAUGGGUGACACAAGCUAGUCAAAUAUUGCGACAGUUAGUGGUACCGAAUCAUUGACACAUACCAAUACAUGAAUGGGGCCCAUUACUCCGUAUGUGCUCCGUAUAUGGGGUAAUUUACGGUAAUUUUUAAAUUUUGCAGUACAUAGUCAUGUGAUAUAUCGUUUCAAAGGCAAUUCAACAGUUAUACGUUGCACAAUUUCAUUUGUUUUACUUUUCAUUUGACUAAAUUCUUGCAAACGUGGUACGUGCUAUUUGGCACGAAGACGUUUCACGGCCGUAGAUUUGUAAACACUUGUUUACAAAUCAGUCCAUAGCAUGUGUUUACAUAUUUUAUCCCUGGUGUGAAAAAAAAGUGUUUGUCAUUGUCAUUUUCUAUUUCUUCUCCAUGACUAUAAAGUUGCAAUAGUAACUCAUUUCGAUUAAGUUCUUUGACUUUCUUGCCAAAAUUACACUUUUCUUACUUUUUGCUGUGUUUUGCUGACCCACGAUAAUAGGUUAGUAAAUCAGUGAUGCACACAAUGCUCUGGUGGUAGAUAAGCAGCAGAAUCAAAGUUGCCUUUCCUCAGGGAAAAAGGAAAAAAAAAAAAAGCCUGUGUGGAUUUUCCCCUUCAUUGCUAAUUCAUUCAUAAACACCUUGCUUUCCUCGACCUAUUAAGCACACAAGUACUUGAAUUCAGUGUUUGGUACACCAGCAAACAUCAAAGUAAACACAGAUUGUGAUCAGAAUGUUAUUAAAGGUUGUUUAUUGGAGCUUCUAAUACACUCGACUCUAUCUGCACCAUUACAACAAAUUGGAAAACCUGACAGUCGAAGGAUUCAGGCCAAAAAGUGGGCUGUUGGGGAAUUUAUCACAAAUGACCCAGAUUAGGAACAUCAUGCAACAUGUUAUGUCUUUAAAUCACUCUUUACUCCUGCUCUACACAUGGUUUAUGAUUCUGUAUAGUAUUGAAAACUCAAAUUGCAAUCGUAGAUUCGGUUUUCUUUGCUGCUGAAAACAAAUGUUUUUGUUGAAGCCAAAGGCUGGGCUGCUUUUAACUGAUUUAGUGCAUUUGGAUAUGUUGGCUUUUUUCUUAAGAAUUUUAUAUUUCGAUAAACGCUACGAGAUGACUAUUGUUGUAAUUUGCGUCAUAUAAAUAAAGUUGAAUUGAAUAACUACA
rnacentral:lncRNA from 1 species